GAUGAAGAACGUAGCGAAAUGCGAUAAGUAAUGCGAAUUGCAGAAUUCCAGUGAGUCAUCGAAUCUUUGAACGCACAUUGCGCCCUUUGGUAUUCCGAAGGGCAUGCCUGUUCGAGCGUCAUUAUCACCCCUCAAGCCCUCGGCUUGGUGUUGGGCGGUUUGGUGGAGGCCCCCUCGGGGGCUCCUGCCCCUCCCAAAGACAAUGACGGCGGCCUCGUUGGACCCCCGGUACACUGAGUUCUUCACGGGACACGUAUCGGACACAUGGGUUUACGGGACACGGUCUGCCUCCCCUCAGGGAGAAUCUUUCUAAGGUUGACCUCGGAUCAGGUAGGGAUACCCGCUGAACUUAAGCAUAUCAAUAAGCGGAGGA
rnacentral:misc_RNA from 1 species